rnacentral:rRNA from 1 species
GGUGGUAAUGCCGGAUGUUCCACAUGAUCGCAUGUGAUUGUGGGAAAGAUUCUAUCGGCGUGGGAUGGGGUCGCGUCCUAUCAGCUUGUUGGUGAGGUAACGGCUCACCAAGGCUUCGACGGGUAGCCGGCCUGAGAGGGCGACCGGCCACAUUGGGACUGAGAUACGGCCCAGACUCCUACGGGAGGCAGCAGUGGGGAAUAUUGCACAAUGGGCGCAAGCCUGAUGCAGCGACGCCGCGUGAGGGAUGGAGGCCUUCGGGUUGUAAACCUCUUUUGUUUGGGAGCAAGCCUUCGGGUGAGUGUACCUUUCGAAUAAGCGCCGGCUAACUACGUGCCAGCAGCCGCGGUAAUACGUAGGGCGCAAGCGUUAUCCGGAUUUAUUGGGCGUAAAGGGCUCGUAGGCGGCUCGUCGCGUCCGGUGUGAAAGUCCAUCGCUUAACGGUGGAUCUGCGCCGGGUACGGGCGGGCUGGAGUGCGGUAGGGGAGACUGGAAUUCCCGGUGUAACGGUGGAAUGUGUAGAUAUCGGAAAAAAAAC